UACGUAGGUGGCAAGCGUUGUCCGGAUUUACUGGGCGUAAAGAGCGCGCAGGCGGUCGUUCAAGUCGCGUGUGAAAGCCCCCGGCUCAACUGGGGAGGGUCACGCGAUACUGAUCGACUGGAAGGCAGGAGAGGGUAGUGGAAUUCCCGGUGUAGUGGUGAAAUGCGUAGAUAUCGGGAGGAACACCAGUGGCGAAGGCGGCUACCUGGACAAUUGCUGACGCUCAGGCACGAAGGCGUGGGGAGCAAAAGGG
rnacentral:rRNA from 1 species